rnacentral:rRNA from 1 species
AAUUCGAAGCAACGCGAAGAACCUUACCAGGUCUUGACAUCCUCUGACGACGCUAGAGAUAGCGUUUCCUUCGGGACAGAGAGACAGGUGGUGCAUGGUUGUCGUCAGCUCGUGUCGUGAGAUGUUGGGUUAAGUCCCGCAACGAGCGCAACCCUUGUGUUUAGUUGCCAGCGGUAAGGCCGGGCACUCUAAACAGACUGCCGUAGAUAAUACGGAGGAAGGUGGGGAUGACGUCAAAUCAUCAUGCCCCUUAUGACCUGGGCUACACACGUGCUACAAUGGGAUGUACAGAGGGUAGCGAAAUAGUGAUAUGGAGCCAAUCUCAAAAAACAUCUCUCAGUUCGGAUUGCAGGCUGCAACUCGCCUGCAUGAAGUCGGAGUUACUAGUAAUCGCAAAUCAGAAUGUUGCGGUGAAUGCGUUCCCGGGGUUU